CCUACGGGUGGCAGCAGUGGGGAAUAUUGCACAAUGGGGGAAACCCUGAUGCAGCGACGCCGCGUGAGUGAAGAAGUAUUUCGGUAUGUAAAGCUCUAUCAGCAGGGAAGAAAUAGCGACCUUUGGGUCGCCAGACGGUACCUGAUUAAGAAGCCCCGGCUAACUCCGUGCCAGCAGCCGCGGUAAUACGUAGGGGGCCAGAGUUAUCCGGAUUUUUUGGGUGUAAAGGGAGCGUAGACGGCAGCGCAAGUCUGAAGUGAAAUGCCGGGGCUUAACCCCGGAACUGCUUUGGAAACUGUGCAGCUAGAGUGCAGGAGAGGUAAGUGGAAUUCCUAGUGUAGCGGUGAAAUGCGUAGAUAUUAGGAGGAACACCAGUGGCGAAGGCGGCUUACUGGACUGUAACUGACGUUGAGGCUCGAAAGCGUGGGGAGCAAACAGGAUUAGAUACCCGAGUAGUC
rnacentral:rRNA from 1 species